UACGUAGGGACCAAGCGUUGUUCGGAUUUACUGGGCGUAAAGGGCGCGUAGGCGGCAAUUCAAGUCAUCUGUGAAAUCUCCGGGCUUAACCCGGAACGGUCAGAUGAUACUGCUUUGCUAGAGUGCGGAAGGGGCAAUCGGAAUUCUUGGUGUAGCGGUGAAAUGCGUAGAUAUCAGGAGGAACACCUGAGGUGAAGACGGGUUGCUGGGCCGACACUGACGCUGAGAGACGAAAGCUAGGGGAGCAAAUGGG
rnacentral:rRNA from 1 species